UGAUGAUGCUGAGAAUAUUUUUCAUGUAUCUGUUGUCUACUGCAUGCCUUAUUAGGAGAAAUAAAUACAAACUAAAAUAAAGUAUCAUUUCAUACCUUCUAGAAUGCGUAAUGCAAAAACAAAACAAAGCUGAGAGGUAGAAAAGCAGAUUUCACCUUUGAAUGAGAGGAGCUGCAUAGUCAUAUUCAAAAACAUGUUGAAUAAGGAGCUGACUCAGUUUUGGUGUUUGGUGAUCACCCCUUUUAAACUUCACCCCUCACUGUCCUCCUUCUGAAUCCUCCUCCCCAUCUGGGAAAGAUGAUAAGAAAGACUGAGUACUUCCCUGUGGAGAUAGGAAAGUAAAAACCACAGAAUCUACUAUCCAUGUAGGUGCCUUUACCACAGCUCUGCCUUCCGGCCACCAUUAGAAACCCUGGGGCAGUCUCUUUCUUGGCCUCUCAAGGCUCAUUUGGACCAGCAUGGGAAGAUCAAGUGGCUUUUUCCAAUGAAUUUCACUAUUCAAGUAAUAAAUAAUUUUAUAACCUCUUGGUGUGCUGAGGAUCAGAUUACUGUCUGGCUCAGUCAGGAGCGCCACACCCAUCUCUCGUGAGACAACUCUGAAGCCUAUUAGGGCUGGAAUAACCCACUCCCUCGGGGGUGUGUCGAGAUCUGACUUUAGACAGAUAAACAAUCCUCUCAAAACCUCCAAAGUCCUGACUCCAUUUGCCUCAGCCUCUGAAGCAUACAGUCCAAAAACGAACAUGUGGCCAAUAACAAUGUGCCAAAUAUCCAGACUCCACCCUGGUUCCACCCCUGCCUUACCCUGUCCAAUAGCGAUCCAAUAGCGCCACCCUGGCUCCACCCCUCCUUACCCUAUAUAAGCCUGUGCAUUUCCGGAAUAAAGCGGAAGCUGCCAGAUACCUCCCUGGAGUUUGAAUGGUGAUUCUGCACUUUGCCCUCCCAGUCCGGCCCUGCAAGUGGGCUCGCAGAUGUAAACAAAAUUGGCGCCCAAAGAAGGGGACUCACAUAUACUGGGUUUCAGACUCACCCCUGCUGCUGUGUCUGAAUGAGAUUCAAGUAAGAGAAACAAGAUGGCAAGACGAGAUGACAGAAUGAAUUCAGCAAGCCACCCGGAUGCCACUGAAUAUGCUACUUGAAUGGAGCCACCAGUUAAAUUCAACAGCCAGACAUCAGAUACCAGGUGUGAGGAGAUCUGGAGUCAGAUUCAGGAGAGUGGGACCAGAUUUUUACCAGCUGUGACUUCACAGGUAUGGUGGUCAGGUGCAUGAGGGUCUGAGAGAGGAGCAGUUCCCCCCAGCAUCACACACCAGUGAAGUCCUG
rnacentral:lncRNA from 1 species